rnacentral:ribozyme from 1 species
UGUCGUUUUUCCUUCUCUUAUUGUUUUUUUUGUUGGUUCUUCUUUCCUCCCCCGAGGAUCGAGGUAUAUCCAUAGAGAAUGAGAGGAAAG